rnacentral:sRNA from 1 species
GCUGGGUGCAGUAGCAUGCACCUAUAAUCUGAGCUACUCAGAGGCUGAUGCAGGAGGAUCACUUGAGCCCAGGAGUUCAAGGCCAGCCUGAACAAAAGCACCUCAGUCUU